CAAGGGGAGGAGAGGGUGCAACCAGGUGUGACUAUCCUGAGGGCGGGAGCUGCAGGUGUCCAUACCCGGGCACGGGUCCAAAUGUGAAUAUCAGAGGCCCGUCUCCAGGUGUGAACAUCGGUGGCGCCGGUUCCUACAUCUAUG